UUAACACAUGCAAGUCGAGGGGCAGCAUGGUCUUAUCUUGCUAAGGCCGAUGGCGACCGGCGCACGGGUGAGUAACACGUAUCCAACCUGCCGUCUACUCUUGGACAGCCUUCUGAAAGGAAGAUUAAUACAAGAUGGCAUCAUGAGUCCGCAUGUUCACAUGAUUAAAGGUAUUCCGGUAGACGAUGGGGAUGCGUUCCAUUAGAUAGUAGGCGGGGUAACGGCCCACCUAGUCUUCGAUGGAUAGGGGUUCUGAGAGGAAGGUCCCCCACAUUGGAACUGAGACACGGUCCAAACUCCUACGGGAGGCAGCAGUGAGGAAUAUUGGUCAAUGGGCGAGAGCCUGAACCAGCCAAGUAGCGUGAAGGAUGACUGCCCUAUGGGUUGUAAACUUCUUUUAUAAAGGAAUAAAGUCGGGUAUGGAUACCCGUUUGCAUGUACUUUAUGAAUAAGGAUCGGCUAACUCCGUGCCAGCAGCCGCGGUAAUACGGAGGAUCCGAGCGUUAUCCGGAUUUAUUGGGUUUAAAGGGAGCGUAGAUGGAUGUUUAAGUCAGUUGUGAAAGUUUGCGGCUCAACCGUAAAAUUGCAGUUGAUACUGGAUAUCUUGAGUGCAGUUGAGGCAGGCGGAAUUCGUGGUGUAGCGGUGAAAUGCUUAGAUAUCACGAAGAACUCCGAUUGCGAAGGCAGCCUGCUAAGCUGCAACUGACAUUGAGGCUCGAAAGUGUGGGUAUCAAACAGGAUUAGAUACCCUGGUAGUCCACACGGUAAACGAUGAAUACUCGCUGUUUGCGAUAUACUGCAAGCGGCCAAGCGAAAGCGUUAAGUAUUCCACCUGGGGAGUACGCCGGCAACGGUGAAACUCAAAGGAAUUGACGGGGGCCCGCACAAGCGGAGGAACAUGUGGUUUAAUUCGAUGAUACGCGAGGAACCUUACCCGGGCUUAAAUUGCAGAUGAAUUACGGUGAAAGCCGUAAGCCGCAAGGCAUCUGUGAAGGUGCUGCAUGGUUGUCGUCAGCUCGUGCCGUGAGGUGUCGGCUUAAGUGCCAUAACGAGCGCAACCCUUGUUGUCAGUUACUAACAGGUUCCGCUGAGGACUCUGACAAGACUGCCAUCGUAAGAUGUGAGGAAGGUGGGGAUGACGUCAAAUCAGCACGGCCCUUACGUCCGGGGCUACACACGUGUUACAAUGGGGGGUACAGAGGGCCGCUACCACGCGAGUGGAUGCCAAUCCCCAAAACCUCUCUCAGUUCGGACUGGAGUCUGCAACCCGACUCCACGAAGCUGGAUUCGCUAGUAAUCGCGCAUCAGCCACGGCGCGGUGAAUACGUUCCCGGGCCUUGUACACACCGCCCGUCAAGCCAUGGGAGCCGGGGGUACCUGAAGUGCGUAACCGCGAGGAGCGCCCUAGGGUAAAACUGGUGACUGGGGCUAA
rnacentral:rRNA from 1 species